rnacentral:rRNA from 1 species
AAACUUUCAACAAUGGAUCUCUUGGCUCUCGCAUCGAUGAAGAACGCAGCGAAAUGCGAUAGGUAAUGUGAAUAGCAGAAUUCCGUGAAUCAUCAGA